ACCCCUCCUCGCCAAAAAGAAAAAGAGGUCGUACUCAAAUGCCAAGUGUUCAUAUUAGAAAAGAGCGUAAAAUAAUCACUCUAAAUGAGUUUAAUCAACCCAUUGGUUCUGCUAAAGAGGUUGUAAAAGAGUUGGGUAGCUUCCUUGGCACAUUGGCAAGGAGUGGGACUUUUUGUCCUCUUAAUGUAGUUAAUUGGAGGAAACUAGAUACAAAAGAUGAUAUGUGGAAAUAUAUCAAGAAAAAAUAUGACAUUCCCGACGAGGCGAAAAAAUGGAUUUUUGAAUCAGUUUGUAGUGCUUGGAGAAAGUAUAAGAGUCAAUUGAAGACAACCCACUUCACAGCCUAUGAGAAUGAUUAGCUUCGAAUGGAGAAUAGGCCAGUAGAUGUUUCGGAAUCUCACCUUAAGGAUCUUCUUAACUAUUGGAACUCCGAUCCUUAUAAGAAAAUAUCCGAAACCAAUACAGAGAAUCGAAAUAAGUUGAAGUGUCCACACACAGCUGGCAGAACACCUUUUGCUCUAAUUCGCGAGGCUGAAAUGGAAAGAAUACAAUUUACUCAGGAAAGUGAAGAUGGCAAUCAUUCAACUGACGCUUUUACAUCAGUCAUGGGACCUGAACAUCCAGGUCGUGUGAGAUUGUAUGGAUGAGGGGUUACCAAGACUGUGUUAAAAGGGCAAAAAGGAAAUCUUGGAUCUUCUGAUGAUAGGAUGCAGCAAAAAAUAGAGGAAAUGGAAGAGAGGAUGCAACAAAGAAUGCAUGAAAAGUUGAACGAACAAAAGGAUGCUAUGGAACAAAAUAUUACAAUGAAUGUCAUCGUACGACUUCAGCGUCUGAACCCAGAUUUGCAACUUGAUCCUGACAUGUUAAGGUUCAGUACACAUUCACCUGUAGAUGCUUCCUCUGCACAACAAGUUGUUGUUCAACUAAACAGUCGACCAUCUACUGGUAGCAACAAUCAAGGUGGAGUAGAUCAAGAAAUGAAUGAUGAAGACGAUGAAGAACUAGACCUUACUUGAAAUGAAUUUUGUAUUGUUAUAGAUGAAUGUUCUAGUAAUCUUUUGUUACCAACAUUUUUGAAACUUAUUUACUCUUUUGAAAUGUACUAAACUUAUGCACUCAUGAGGUAGAACAUUUGCUUUA